GGGAGACAAUGAAUCAGGUAUUGAACCAGUACAGUGUCGUGAGCAAACUCUAACUUUUUCUGUCCAUUAUGCCAGACUUUUUUAUUUUUUUUGUGCAGGUCAUGAGUUACAAGCAUUGCAUAUUAUAACGUGGAAUAAAGUCUUGACUAUCUAUUCUAUGUGUAGGCCAUACAGUGAGGAUAUCUAAGCAUGCAUUACUGAAAU